rnacentral:rRNA from 1 species
GACAGAGGUGCCAAGCGUUAGGCGGAAUCACUGGGCUUAAAGCGUGUGUAGGCGGACUUGUAAGUACCUUGUGAAAUCCCACGGCUCAACCGUGGAACUGCUUGGUAUACUGCUUGUCUUGAGCCACUUAGGGGCUACCGGAACAAAUGGUGGAGCGGUGAAAUGCGUAGAUAUCGUAAGGAAGACCAGUGGCGAAGGCGGGUCUCUGGACAGUUCCUGACGCUGAGGCACGAAGGUCAGGGGAGCAAACGGG